rnacentral:lncRNA from 1 species
UGAUGAGCCGUGUGCUGUUUGGACUGUGUCACCGGGUCGAGUAAUUAAUAUGUCUGAUUACACUCACUAAACGACAUCGGAUUACUUGAUUAGGGUGGGACACAUUGGUGGGCUAGAUUCGUAUUUAAAAUCAUCUUUUUUUUUUUUACUUACUUGAUAGUCUUAUAUAUGUGAGUGAGUGAGACUGUGGUGACUUGGGUCCAUUCAAAUAAUGCCUUGAUACGUGUAAAAAACUCGUAUUACUACCUCACACCUAAUACGUUAAGUUAAGCCCUCAUCGACCAAACGACAAAUAAAAACUU